GACGAACGCUGGCGGCGUGCUUAACACAUGCAAGUCGAACGGAAGGGCCCUGCUUUUGUGGGGUGCUCGAGUGGCGAACGGGUGAGUAACACGUGAGUAACCUGCCCUUGACUUUGGGAUAACUUCAGGAAACUGGGGCUAAUACCGGAUAGGAGCUCCUGCUGCAUGGUGGGGGUUGGAAAGUUUCGGCGGUUGGGGAUGGACUCGCGGCUUAUCAGCUUGUUGGUGGGGUAGUGGCUUACCAAGGCUUUGACGGGUAGCCGGCCUGAGAGGGUGACCGGCCACAUUGGGACUGAGAUACGGCCCAGACUCCUACGGGAGGCAGCAGUGGGGAAUAUUGCACAAUGGGCGGAAGACUGAUGCAGCAACGCCGCGUGCGGGAGGACGGCCUUCGGGUUGUAAACCGCUUUCGCAUGUGACGAAGCGUGAGUGACGGUAAUGGGUAAAGAAGCACCGGCUAACUACGU
rnacentral:rRNA from 1 species